rnacentral:RNase_P_RNA from 1 species
UGAGUGUGUUGAACAGCUGCGGGCAAAAUCCGAAAGGAUUUGUGCGAGGAAAGUCCGGGCUUCACAGAGCAAAAAUAACGGCUAACGGCCGCCGGAGGCGACUCCAGGGAUAGUGCAACAGAAAAGAACCGCCGAUUUUCGGUAAGGAUGGAAAGGUGAGGUAAGAGCUCACCGGAGGCAGGGAGACCUGUCUGCCGUGUAAACCCUAUUUGAAGCAACACCGUGGUGGGACAUUUGCGCUUGCUCGGCGCGUCCCGUGGAGGUGGCAUCGAGCAGUUUCGGCAACGGACUGCCAAGAUAGAUGGCUGUUCACGACAGAACCCGGCUUACAGACACAGUCAUAAA